AACGUAGGUGGCGAGCGUUAUCCGGAUUUACUGGGCGUAAAGCGCGCGCAGGCGGCACUGUAAGUAAGGUGUGAAAUAUCCCUGCUCAACGGGGAGGGUGCACUUUAGACUGCAGAGCUAGAGGACGGUAGAGGGGGGUGGAAUUGCUGGUGUAGCGGUGAAAUGCGUAGAGAUCAGCAGGAACACCCGUGGCGAAGGCGGCCCCCUGGGCCGAACCUGACGCUGAGGCGCGAAGGCUAGGGGAGCGAACGGG
rnacentral:rRNA from 1 species